AACGCACAUUGCGCUUCCUGGUAUUCCGGGGAGCAUGCCCGUUUCAGAAUCAUUUAAAACUAUCUUGAUAUGUUGUGUCUGGUAUAUUUUUUUAUGCCGGACGUGCCAUGUUGAGGAUGUUGAGUAGUUUUUGCUGGCUCUAAGCUUCCAAUAACUCAUAAAUGAUUGUAUGUAUCGCUGCAAUGAAAUUUGUUUGCGGAUUAAGUGCAACAGAGUAUAUCUAUUCGCUUAGACUGCUUUCAAAUGGUAGUUGCCGAAGCAUAUUCUAAGAUAAUACCAGUAAUUUGUACAAUAGUGCGAUUGCUGAUAACUUGGUCUGAAAUCGGGCAAGAAAACCCGCUGAACUUAA
rnacentral:misc_RNA from 1 species